UCGGGAAUCUUCCGCCAUGGACGCAAGUCUGCCGGAGCAACGCCGCGUGAGUGCAGAAGGAUUUCGGUUCGUAAAACUCUGUUGUUAGAGAAGAACAGCGCAUAGAGUAACUGUUAUGCGUGUGACGGUCUCUAACCAGAAAGCCACGGCUAACUACGUGCCAGCAGCCGCGGUAAUACGUAGGUGGCAAGCGUUGUCCGGAUUUAUUGGGCGUAAAGCGAGCGCAGGCGGUCAAUUAAGUCUGAUGUGAAAGCCCCCGGCUCAACCGGGGAGGGUCAUUGGAAACUGGUUGACUUGAGUGCAGAAGAGGAGAGUGGAAUUCCAUGUGUAGCGGUGAAAUGCGUAGAUAUAUGGAGGAACACCAGUGGCGAAGGCGACUCUCUGGUCUGUAACUGACGCUGAGGCUCGAAAGCGUGGGUAGCAAACAGG
rnacentral:rRNA from 1 species